rnacentral:Y_RNA from 1 species
GUCUGGUCUGAGUGCAGUGGUGUUUACAACUAAUCGGUCACAACCAGUUAUAGAUCCCUUUGUUCCUUCUCCACUCCCACCGCUUCACUUUACUAGCCUAAA